CGCAGAUCGCGCUGCGGGGCCCGGACUUCUCGCGAGGGUUCCGGCCUCCGGCGCCGACUCCGCGGGAAUUUUCAAACUUUCCCUACUAGGCCUUUUGCGGAAAGGGAGGAAAGGGAAACUGCUUUGGGAAGAAAGGUCUCCUACCUGCGGAUGGACUGGUACAGUUAAGUUCAAGGCCUGAUCAGGACACAUCACGCAACCGUGUGGGAUCAGUCACCAGCCAUUAAGUCUGUCUUCAAACUGACCAACCCGAGGGAGGAAGACUCAAGAGAGGCUUUAAAACCCCAGGCCUAAGAGGACACGGGAUUUUUCAGCUUCCCUAGUACCUGUUCUGCUUUGCAAGAGGGUCUUUUUCUCUCUGUGUGUGCUGCAUGUGUGUGUUUCCUCGCUCCCAAUAAACGCCUUUCAACUGCUAA